rnacentral:rRNA from 1 species
CCUACGGGAGGCAGCAGUGGGGAAUAUUGCGCAAUGGGCGAAAGCCUGACGCAGCGACGCCGCGUGAGGGAUGACGGUCUUCGGAUCGUAAACCUCUGUCAGCAGGGAAGAACGGUCACUGUGCUAAUCAGCAGUGAAUUGACGGUACCUGCAAAGGAAGCACCGGCUAACUCCGUGCCAGCAGCCGCGGUAAUACGGAGGGUGCGAGCGUUAAUCGGAAUUACUGGGCGUAAGGCGCGCGUAGGCGGUAUGGCAAGUCAAGGGUGAAAUCCCCGGGCUCAACGUGGGAACUGCCUUUGAAACUGGAAAGCUGGAGUGUGUGAGGGGAUAGUGGAAUUCCAGGUGUAGGAGUGAAAUCCGUAGAUAUCUGGAGGAACAUCAGUGGCGAAGGCGACUAUCUGGCACAUAACUGACGCUGAGGAGCGAAAGCGUGGGUAGCAAACAGGAUUAGAUACCCUUGUAGUC